AAGAAAUUGAGGUGCCUGACCUAUCUGGGGAACAGCCGAAGUUUAUGUUCCAGUUCCUGGUUUGUGAAAAAUUCUUCCAUGAAAUGGUGAUAGCCUGUAAGGUGGUUUUCAUCAAACCUUGAGCAAUUUUAAUGCAAACAAAAUCUCCUCGGUAUCAUUGUUAUUCUAUAAACCUCAAGCCUAUACCCAUCACUUUUCCAUAUCUUUUACAUUCCUAUGAUCACUACUGGAAAGCCCAGAGAUAUGGUGAUAUCAUUAUGCAAAAACCCAAAUAAAAGACACUUCGGAGGCAGUAGCUACAGCCAUGUUCUGAAGCGGUGUCUUCAUGCUGCAGACCAAGUGCUCGCAGAGGUGGACAGGGACACCAGGCUGGAGGCCAGCAGAGAAAGCAAUC